rnacentral:lncRNA from 1 species
CCUAAAGAACACUCAAGUCACUGUGUUGUGUGCAUAUUUUCUCCAUGAUGAAUGAAAGCUCCAGAUGGGGUUGCUUUUAGUUCUUGGUUAUGACCCAGUCGUGUGGCUUUUUUUUUAGGUGGAAACCUACAAGAAACUUAUUCGGUUGUCAAGAAUAGAGCCAAAACCCUUCCACACCUUGAAGGGCCUUAGCCCCAUAAAGUGUCACUGGGUAUAUACACGCUGUAAAGUGAUCUGGUCAUUGUGAAGCCUUUUCUCACUGGCUGUCAUAGGCCCAAUACCCCAUACUCUAGGAGGGCACCCCGAAAGAAGUGAUUGAAUGCUUUCUCCAAGUGCAAAAAACACAUGCAUGCAAACCCUCAGAUAUCCUCAAGAGGAUAAAGAGUUGUUGCCAGGACAUAAACCCCAUUUUUCCUCUUCAAUCCAAGGUUCGACUAGUGGACAGUCUACUCUCCAGUCACCUUUCAAAGGAUUGUGAGUGUGAAGCUGGAGCACAUCCUCCGAGCACGUAUCUUAAAAGGUUUGCCAAUCCAGAGACUCUGUCCCAGGUUAGCCCUACAACAUCCAAGGACUCAGGGCAAAUUUCAUUCAAUGAGUUUAUUCAAAGAGUUUAUUAGCAACCUUUGUAACCUCAGCCCUAAUGAUGGGCGAGUUGGCCCUCUUGUUUCCAUAUUCCUGUACUUCCUCUACCAAAAAUAUCUCAGUUCAGUUCAGGAGACCAUUGAAGUAUUUUUUCAUUUGCCUCACUGCAUUCUCAGCUAUAAUAUAUAAGAAAUCUACAUAUGGUUUUAUUAGAAAAUCACCUUUGGCACCUCUAUUAUACAUGAUUAUAGUACAAUGAGUAUCCAUCUUUAUCCAUGUUUACGGCAUAUCUUCAGACUUUAGUCACCAGGAAAUAUGGCAAUCGGAGUUCUAGAGUUCAAGUAAACCUGUCCAAGUAUUCCCUCUUAGUCACAAGCUCGCUUCCUGUCUCUAAUGGAAGUCUACUCUUCUUCCUCUGGGACCAUCUGGGACCAUCUCCUCUGUCUUCCCCUCUCUCUCACGCACACUCUCUCCUUGAAUUGAUUGCAGCUGCAGUGCAUUGUGGUCUGAUUGCCCAGUGUGAUCCCUGGACAGCACCCGGAUGCUCACACUGCACUUCUCAGCUACAGCAGUCCCUUCAGGUGGAGUGCAUCAGUGCACCUUGGAGCGCCUGUCCACUCUCCCUGCACCAUCGUUGGCUGGCUUCUUGAUUAGGUUUGGCCCAACUGAUAAGACUGACUCAGUCUGUGUGUUUUUUAGAUAAAGAUUUAUACUUUACUUUCAAAUCCAUGCCUCCCCUGUCAUUUUUUAUGUCUAAUGAGUCGGUCCAUGACAAGAAGAAAGGUAGAGAUGCAUCAUCUUUAUACUAACUUGCCUUAUAGUUAAUUGGCAAUGCUUUUGGAGAGAUUCUGUGUGUGUGUGUGUGUGUGUGUGUGUGUGUGUGAGAGAGAGAGAGAGAGAGAGAGAGAGAGAGUGGGUUGAUUUUCGCAUAAAUGCCUCUGCUUCAGUGGCUUAAUUGAAGCCAGGUGUCUUUGAGUAGUGCGCCCCUAUUCUGGUCUAUUUAUGCCACUCUCGUCAUUCUGGGGUAUGUGAUGCCAAUAUACCAGUAUCAGACAUCCUUUUCUGGUAUCUAAUUACAGGUAGGGGUGGGCUCAGCCAAAUGACCUGUCGUCUUGCCCACCCAGUCAAAAGUAAAAAUUUGUUUUCCAAAUGGAAAAAGCAGCACAGAAAGUACAAGGACCCUUUUCUAACCUCUAACUGGGUUGGUAGCAUACAGCCAACUCCAAUUUCUCCUCUGACUCACCUUAUUAAAAUCAGAGGUACAAACACGCAGAGGUCAAA